CAUAAGUCGGUACCCACGUCCACCCCCUCAGGAGACAAAUUUUAAUAAAACGUUUAUUUAAUGUUUAUUUUAUAUUUAUUUCAGGCCAAUACCAGGGCAAAGAAGGCAAAGCAACGGUUGUACUAGAGGCAGUGGCGAGCUAUAAUUGUCGGAUAUGGUAUUGUAAUUUCGGAGCUGCGGGAAGUUGCAACGACAUUAACAUACUAGACAAUUCACCACUAUUAGAUGAAAUAAUACAUAACGGUAUGUUGGACCUGACGUACGAAGUGAACGGUAAAACGCGUGAAAGGGGAUAUCUUCUAGGAGAUGGAAUUUAUCCCGACUGGUCUUGUUUCGUCAAAACAAUAUCGCAUCCAUCUAACGCGAAGGAGCAGCAUUUUGCAACGGUUCAGGAAUCUGUAAGAAAAGACGUGGAACGGUGUUUCAGUCUUCUGACCAAUACCUGGCAAAUUACAAAGCAGCCGUGUCGUUUGUGGGAUUUGCAAACCAUGAUACUCGUGAUGGAAGCUUGUAUAAUUUUGCACAAUAUGCGCAUUGAAUACAACGAACACGAAGAGGUGGUUUUUCGACAAAAUUCCAAUGAGCGUGAGCCGAAGACCUUCACACAGUAUUGUGAAAUUCGUGCAAAAAUUAAAUGUGCUACAGAAAACGCAGCUCUGAGAAAGGAUCUGAUAGACCACCUAUGGCAUGUACGUGGUGAACAAUAAGCAGUGCAUGUUAAAAUAGAAGAAGAGAGAAAUAUAGAGUAUAUUGUCACAAUAAGAUAAGAAAAAUAAACAGCUAUCCAUUUCUGAA